AGUCUUAGGAUUUGAUCUAAGAUUAGACCUGCCCAAUGUGAUGAGAUGAAUGGCCGCGGUACUCUGACCGUGCUAAGGUAGCGCAAUCAAUUGGCUUUUAAUUGGAGCCAGGUAUGAAUGGAGUUACGGGGCUGAGCUGUCUCUUAACUAAUUUUUCGAAGUUACUAUGUAGGUGAAAAAGCCUAUAGGAUGAAAAAGGACGAGAAGACCCUUAGAGUUUUUCUAAAAUUGAGAGUAUAAAGUGUUAAGUUUCUCAAAAAAGUUUGGUUGGGGCAACGUAGGAACAGGUUAAGAGAAAAUAAUUUCCUGAAAUUAAUCGACCGAUUAUAUUAUAAUUGAAUAAACUACCUUAGGGAUAACAGCAUAAUGUUAUAAAAAAGUUUGUGACCUCGAUGUUGGACUAGGAGACUAAAGGGCUAGCCGCCUUUUUGGGAAGUUCUGUUCGAACUAGUAAUUCC
rnacentral:rRNA from 1 species